UAGUGACAUGACGGUGACGGCCAUGUUGGGAGUUUCUUCCUAGUGUUGUUAAUGUUGCCUGUGUAUACAUUGGUAUCGGUAGUGCUGGUGGGUUACAGAAUCAGAUCCAGAAGUACAUUGUUGUUGAGUGCGCACCGGACGUUGGUACGGAUCGCUUCAGUUAAACAGACUUGUCCAGAAGGGUUGAGACGAUUUCUUCGGUCGGUUUUCGGGAAGAAUCCCCAGCGAGCCAGGAUCACCAUGCCAACUCCCAAGGCAUUACCCCUGCACAAAGUGAUAAUGGUGGGCAGCGGAGGGGUGGGCAAGUCGGCCCUGACGUUGCAGUUCAUGUACGACGAGUUUGUUGAGGACUACGAGCCGACCAAGGCCGACAGCUAUCGCAAGAAGAUCACGCUGGAUGGUGAGGAAGUCCAGAUUGACAUCCUGGACACGGCGGGCCAGGAAGACUACGCAGCCAUCCGCGACAACUACUUCCGCUCAGGGGAAGGGUUCCUGUGCGUCUUCAGCAUCACCGAGCAGGAGUCGUUCGCAACCACUACAGAAUUCAGGGAACAGAUUUUGAGAGUGAAGUGCGACCGGACAGAAGAUAUGAUCCCCUUUCUUUUGGUUGGCAACAAAGCGGACCUGGCUGACAAGAGGCAGGUGAGCCCAGAGGAGGCAGGGAACCGGGCGACGGCUUGGAAGGUUCCCUAUGUCGAGACCUCGGCCAAAACAAGGGAAAAUGUCGAUAAGGCUUUUUAUGAUCUCAUGCGAAAGAUUCGGGAGCAGAAGGCCCGGGAGAACCAGAAGCAGAACGGCAAGGGCAAGACAACGCCAUCCGGCGGACGGAGCAAGCGGAAAUGCGUCAUCCUGUGAAACCAUAGUCUGUCAUGUGUGUGUGUGUCUUUGUCUGUUGGGUUUCUUAUCGUUCUCCGUGGGGUCAGGUCGGACCUGCACGCCUUGUGGCUGCCUGUGGACGGAUUGCACAUGACCAGAGCAGCCAUAGUGUGUAGCGUUGCCAAGCCUCUUUGUAAUACCCAGUGUAACACCAGCCCAUCACAGCCAUGUCAUCUUUGAGUGGCUGCUUUGUACAGGUUUUACUUUGGAACAUCUCAUGUAAAUAGACAGUGACGUAAAUCUGGGGGUCACAUGAUUUCAUUCUCCCUCUCCAUAAAAAAAAGUUGUGCAUUUUUAUUUGAAGGAAAUGCAAACUUCGCUUGGAUGCGAUACUUAAAUCGCAUCCCCCCUCGCAUUGUACAAACUAAUAUUACAUUCUAAGGUGUCGAAACAUAAAGGAUGACACAUGCGACGCAUGUGUCACAUGUAACACAUAUUGAGCAUGUCGAAUCUGUCAAGGACAUACAGUAAUGGAAAGUGAAAUCGCUGCAGUUGUAAAAAAGUGGCUAUAGUUGUGUCCGACGCAGACUUCUUGAGUAGUGCUGUUUGCACGUGCUUUCGCAACUGUUGAAGACCUAGACCUAGCAAUGCAUUCAAGAUUCAGGCGUAGCCUGUGUGCCCAUUGACACAGACCUGUGAUAACUGAGAGUGGCGGUCCGAACGGUAGACUGCAUAAUUUUUUUACGUGUACGCGCAAGGCGGAAACCGCUUGGCAUGCUAAGCACUGACUUUCCGCAAUAUGAAUGGCACCCCCACAGGAAGAGUGGAGGAUGUAAUGAGGGACAGCAUUCAACCAUGCCAGUCGAUCUGUGACGUCAUACCUAACAAGACGGUUGAUUGGCCAGAAUGCACUGUCUCAGUGUGACAUCUUUGAAAAAAAAUUCACUGAGCUUUAGAAUCACAGCAGUUUGCCAACCUGUCGUGUGGUAUAUUGCAGUCAGUGUGACCAAUUCCAUAGGAGCCGCUAUGUUCAAUUUUUUAUAACACUGCAUUUUCAUUUUCACUUGCUGUGUAAUUUGGCCUUUACAUGCAAUGCAUUUAGGCAGCACAGAACUUAUUAUAUAUUUUGUCAAUCAAAAGCUGGAAUGCAUUUCUAUUUUUCAAAGUCCUGUAUCCAUCAAACUCAAUCAAAACAGGGUGUUAGAUUCUGUCAGAUGAAGGAAGUUGAGGUUCAGUUGUAAGAAAGACCACUGCUCAUCUAAAAAUUGAAAACAAGCACACUUCUGUUUUUUGUGUUCCAACUUGAUAGUCCACGAUUUAGAACUGAAAGAGUAUUGACUUCCAAGCGUUCUCUUACGUAUCAGUUCAAUUCAGGUAUUUUCGAUACAGGAUCAGAAAUUACCUUGGGAGGCUUUUAAAGCAUAUUUUGAAAACAUUUGCAAAAGCUUUUGUUGAACAGUGCACCUAGUUAAUCUCCAAGAUAAACAGGUUGAGGCCCAUACAGAUGCAUUGUAAGUUACUUGGAUUGCCUCAAGUUGUAGUGUACAGUGUCCAUGUAAGACUGGAAAGGCAUUUGAAAUAUCAGACCACGUGACAUCUUAUUUGGGAUCAGUUUCAACAUGCUGUAGAGCUUGUCACUGACUCAGAAAUGUCAAGAACUAAAAGAUAAAGUGAGCUUCAGCCGAGAGCUGGGGCUGCUGCAGAAUUUGCUUUAGCAGAAAGAAUUUGCUUUAGCAGAAAUCAGGUUGCCAGCCUAACUGCUAUGCCAGGAACAUAUAUAUUGUCAGGGACUGCACGGUACUCUGCAGAUUUUUUAUGAGAACAUAAAUUUGCCAGUUAUUCACUUCUGCCGAGCUCCAUAAAGUAGGGCCCAGGCUUUCUGGCUGAAGCUCACAGUAGACACAUAUGUUCUGUGAUAUUUAACCAAAUAAAGGGCAAAAAUCUGAAAAAAGGAACAGAUGAACAGAAGACACCUGUUAACCUUUGAAAUAUACCAUUGAAAUGACUGGCAUGUUAAAUGUUGACAUGUGGCCCUACCACAAAAUGGCUUAUAAAGUAAAAGAAAAUUGGCAAGAAAAAUAUGCAGAUGUAAUGGAACUCAACACAAGUUGUAAAACCGUAGCCAAAAAGUUGCCGUGCAUCAAAUUCAUAAAUAGCCUGGAAAUGAUUUGUAAUUAUUUUAGUGUAUACGUACAUGUAUAUUUUUUGGUUUGCAGUAUAUUUGUGGAUCAGUUCUCCUUGUUUGAGAUCCUUCACACUGUCACCCAAGUUUUUUCCCUGUUGUUUCUUGAGGGAAAUACACUAACCAAGAAUAUUAAAUUCUGUUCUUAUUGUGCAUGUCAAUUGCAUGGUUUUCAUCUGUCAUUGUUGCAGAUGUUCUCAUGUGCAGGUUCCCAUUUUAUAUCCCAUCUUUUCUGAUGCAAACCUGUGUUGAAUGGGAAAAAAGUAGUCAGGAGGCCUGCUUUGUUUGUUGGUGGCUUAUGAAGUCAGGGUACCCAGACAAAGAUGGCCGCCACGUUUGCAGCCCUCACCCUUUAGCUGAUGUAAUCUGAAACUUUUAAAGUGGACAUAUAUGACUAGUAUAUGUUCAUCUCUUGCUGUAUUUGGUUUGAAAACAUUUUUGGGAGAGCAUCUUUGACUUUUGCUACUUUUACAAAUCAAAUUGUCAGUCACGUAGAUUAUCUCUUCAGGUCAGUUUCUGUUUUUUUUUCCCGUUCAAGUAAUGUCAGCUUUGCAUCUGAAUUUCAUUCAUUGUAUCCCUAACUAAUUUUGCGCUUAAAUCAGAUUGGCUUUGGUAUGAGCUGUAUGGCUUCUGCUAAUUUACAGCUUCAAUCACAACACUACUGACUUUCCAUAAUCUUUUAUGGUCUGUGCUUGUGGUUUGUGCAAUACAAUGGAUCAAUGUGCUACUGUAAAUUGUGUAGAAAUCUCUGCUUCACAUUUUUUCUGAGGUUUCAAUUCUUCAAAUGUUUGCAGGAUCAAGUCCUGGACCUUGAAUUUCAAUUUGUCAGAGAUGUCAUUGCAUUUUUUUUCUGUCAGCCUUAAACGUCAAUUCUUUAUUUUGAAUCAAGGAGUAAGUCACUCGCAACUUUGAAAUGGUUGUUCAUGAGGCCACCUCCUAUUGUGGCAAAAAACAACACCUAUAUAAAUGUAUGAAGCCACAAGCUUCUGUACAUGUUCCUCAGUAUAUAAGGCAAGCAUAAAUUUCCACAGAAAGGGUUAAUUUCACGGCUCACUCAGAAGCCUGCUUAAAUGUCCGAAUGUUUCUUUCUUGCGGUGUAAGUCUAAACGUAGUUUCAAGUUUUGUCUCUUGUUUGCUCAGUUUUGGGGAGAAUAAGCAUGUAGAAUCUUGUGUACAUUUGAAAAGACGUAACUCUCGUAUUGAGGAAUCACUAAAAUCAUUUAAUCAAGCUGUUCAUUCAUAACAAUCACCCAGCGUCUGUGUCAGUUUUUUUUUUAAAUGUACUUGUAUUAACAUAAUGUAUCUAUAUAUUUGAUUGUAUUUGCAUGAUUUGGCACAAACUGCACACUGUGCUCUUAUUUAUAUGAUUAAGCUUAUUUUCAUGCUACUUUUUUUCCUGAUACUGUACAUUCAUAAGGCAUCUCCAGAAGAAAAGUUCAACAGGAAAUAGAACUUUGGGCUUGCCUGUGUACAGUGAUUAUUGCCCUCUUUUGAAUUCUCUUGAGACAAAGUUGUCCUUGUCUUGCAGAUGAUGUUGCAAUGUUGGAGGAUAUACAGUCUGUAGAAAUACCAAGCAAUCCCAAGUCUUUUUAUUCUGUUUUUUUCCUUUAUUGCUGAUUCUAUAUGGCAUAACUGAAAAAUAUUGACUUUGAGACAUGACAGUUCUUUGCCUUGUACAAAUUUAGUGAUAUUUCAAGACUGGCAAACACACAUGAAUUAGAAUAAUAAUGUGCAAAGCCCUGUUACCAAUGCCCGAGGUUUUUGCUAGAAAAAUGGGGUCCAAUUAUUUUCGUGGCCCUGUCACAUUAGUCUUGGAACCAAGGCUACUGUCACAUCAGACAAAUGAUUUUGCAAGUUCAGAACACAAGUUUUGAUUUCCCAGAGUGAUGAAGUUAUACAAGUUACCCACCACACAAAUAUAGUUUGAAAUCACUUUCAGUGAUAUGUCCAAGUCAAAUUGCGCAAGACAGUUAUAACAAGGACACCCAAGAGUCACAUUUCUGUACCCUUUCCCCCCAUUUAUAGAAUGACCCCUGUGGCCUCACAGGUAUCGAUUGUGGUUGUAUUUAGGGCAUUCCUAGUUUGUAACAGUACAAAUGGCCCAGCCAUUGAUCUUUUGUUGUGUGAUGCUGCAACUGUGCCAGUGUGUUUAUGGUACAAAUACCCUCACAUUAUAAUUGACAGGAUGCGGAACCCUGGUUGAACUCUUUUCCUUAAUGGGAUUUUUCACUGACCCAUGUCUGUGGAUUAAAGAAAGAUUAUAUAUUUAUGCUGAAGGCUAGUCUGCUAGUCUAUGAACUUCAGCGCCUGGAAUGUUCUCUUUUCUAAAUCCAUUAACUACCGGUUACAUGCCGAGAUUAAUCCUUACCUUUGUGUACUGUCUGAAGUCGUUCCUAAAAUUUGUCGAGGCCGUUGUAUGAUUUUGAAGUCUUGAUUAUACUUGUAUGUACAUUAUGAGACAUUUUAUAUGAUUUGCACCUGUAAAACCAGUUUUGGUAAAUACAUAUAUAGCUACUGUACACUGAAAGUUUACAGGUGGCUGUUAACGGGUUAAAGGAGUAGUUAGGAUAUUUAUGUGAUUUACGGGCAUCUAGAACCUGGUUAGCAUCACCUUAUACUGGGUUUAUCCCAUUGUAAUUGUAUAAACGUGGAAAUAUUGCCUUUCCCUAGCAAUUGUAGGCCAGAAUAAAGUAGCAUUGUAUUGAUACUUCAAACACUAAUUGCAGUGUGCUGAUUUUCUUGCAGUUUCUAAUAACAAAUUUAUGAAGCAA
rnacentral:misc_RNA from 1 species